rnacentral:sRNA from 1 species
CUUUCCGCUAUCUGCCGCUUGUCCACCGGAAGCGAGUUGCGACACGGCAGGUUCCCGCCCGGAAGAAGCGACCAAAGCGCCUGAGGACCGGCAACAUGGUGCGGUCGGGGAAUAAGGCAGCUGUUGUGCUGUGUAUGGACGUGGGCUUUACCAUGAGUAACUCCAUUCCUGGUAUAGAAUCCCCAUUUGAACAAGCAAAGAAGGUGAUAACCAUGUUUGUACAGCGACAGGUGUUUGCUGAGAACAAGGAUGAGAUUGCUUUAGUCCUGUUUGGUACGGAUGGCACUGACAAUCCCCUUUCUGGCGGGGAUCAGUAUCAGAACAUCACAGUGCACAGACAUCUGAUGCUACCAGAUUUUGAUUUGCUGGAGGACAUUGAAAGCAAAAUCCAACCAGGUUCUCAACAGGCUGACUGUAUCCUUUUUCUGCCAGAGAAGACUUUAAGAAAUUUCCUUUAUUCUGGGAAUCGUACAGCAGUUUGAUGAGACACCCCCAGAGUUUCAGCUAUGAGUAUAUGGGUAUAUUUUGCUCUGAGGAGGGGGAGGUAAUGUGUUAAUAGGGUUUAAUGUGAAAUUAAUCAGUUUAAAACAGUGCCUGGGCUCCCAGCCCU